rnacentral:piRNA from 1 species
GUAAGGACUGUUGGGCUAUGUGCUGAGG